rnacentral:tRNA from 1 species
ACCGAGGUAGCAAAGCCCGGUAAAUGCUGAAGGCCUAAGCCCUUUUAUCAGAGGUUCAACUCCUCUUCUCGGCU